CCAGCAGCUCCUGGACAACAGGACAGACAUGGUAUCUGUGUCUUUGCAGAGUGACUUCAAUCAGGCAGACACCCAAGAGGACAUGGCCAAACUUCAGCAGGAGAUGGAUCAGCUUCAGGCUUCUCUGCAGACCAUCAGUGCAGACAAGAGCCAACUGGAGAAUGACCUGCAACAGAACACGCAGAAGCUUGAUGAGACACAGAGGAUUCUACAGUCUUUGGAGCAGAUGCUUCAGGAGCAGAAUCAGAAGAACUUGAACUUGGAAAGACUGAGUCAAGACAGAGACACUGAGCUGGAGAGACAGACCAAGGAACUUGAGCGUGUACAAGCAGACAGUGAGAGGUCAAAAGAGGAGAGGGAUGAGCUCGUGUCCAGACUAAGCGCUGUCACUGAGGACAGAGAGCAGCUGCAGCAGGCUCUGGACACACUUGCACAGGAGAAGCAACAGCUCCAGCAGCUCCUGGACAACAGGA
ensembl:lncRNA